CUACGGUGACGGUGCCGUGGUGCUCGGGAAGACCGGUGGGAAACCGGAGCGGCCCUCGCCACUGUGAUCGGGAAGCACCGGCUCCAUGCCGACCGCGCGGCAGUCCGCGUUGUCGGUGGCCACUGGACGCGUUCAGCGCGCCCGGGAAGGCGGAGCCGGGGCGUCGACCCGUCAGCCAGGAGACCGGCCACGGCAUCGAAGUCGAC
rnacentral:ncRNA from 2 species